rnacentral:sRNA from 1 species
UUAAAAUAAAAGUUUUGAUUGGUUAUACCUAGGGGUGUCAAAAUGGGUAACCCAACCCAACUCAACUCAUAAUCAAAUGAGUUUAGGGUCAAAUGAGUUAUGAGUUGAUCCAACUCAUUUAACAAAAUGAGUUGGGUCAACCCAUAACUCAUUUAAUUUGAUGGGUUGAGUUGUUAAAUGGGUUAACCCAUUUAAGUAAUAAUUUAAUUAAUUAUUAUUAUAAAACAAUAAUAAAUAAUUAUCAUUAUUAAUUGAUUAUCAUCAAACUUAGGAUAUUUACGGAUUCUAUUUUUUACGGGUUUACGUUUUUGGCGAGAAAAUCACGGAUUUACGUUUUUGGCGGGAAAAUCACGGGUUUACAUUUUUUGCGGGAAAAUUACGGGUUUACGUUUUUGGCGGGAAAAUUACGGAUUUACGUUUUUGGCGGGAAAAUCUCGGGUUUACAUUUUUAGCGGGAAAAUCACGGGUUUACGUUUUUGGCGGGAAAAUCUCGGGUUUACGUUUUUGGCGGGAAAAUUAUGGAUUUACGUUUUUGGCGGGAAAAUCUCGGGUUUACAUUUUUGGCGGGAAAAUUACGGAUUUACGUUUUUGGCGGGAAAAUCUCGGAUUUACGUUUUUGGCGGGAAAAUCUCGGGUUUACAUUUUUGGCGGGAAAAUCUCGGAUUUACGUUUUUGGCGGGAAAAUCACAGGUUUAUGUUUUUUGGUGGAAAAAUUACGAGUUUACUUUUUCUCAAUUUUAUCGCUUGUAUAUUUAAGAAAUUUGGAAAAAUAUUAAUUUUAUUAAAUUGGUUUAGAUGUGUUGGUUAAACUUAAAUUGACAUUGGUUUAGAGAUUUUAGUUGGUUUAAUUGAAUUUUACAAAAUUUGAUGGGUUAAUUGGGUAAACCAUUGAAACCAUUAACCAUUACAACCCAACUCAUUUUACUCAUCAAACCAAUUGACUCAUCAACUCAUUUGACUCAUUAACUCAUUUGAGUCAAAAUUUUCAACUCAUUAGGGUUCAUGGGUUGAGUUGAGUUGAGUUGAUCCAUGAAUUUUGACCCAUUUUGACACCCCUAGUUAUACCCAAUCCAAAAAAGAAACGUUUGCAAAUGAAUCAUCCACAAA